GGUGUUGUGGCUCAGUGGUGGAGUGCUUGCCUGGUAUGUGUGAGGCACAGGGUUUGAUCCUCAGCACCA
rnacentral:tRNA from 1 species